UGAGGUGUAGCUCAGUGGUAGAGCACUUGCCUGGCAUGUGCAAGGCACUGGGUUCCAUCCCCAGCACCACAU
rfam:Heterocephalus glaber contig103804, whole genome shotgun sequence.